rnacentral:misc_RNA from 1 species
GAAUCUCCCUAUUUAACUACUGGAUUAACCACCUAACUGCUCUACUCUUUACUCAUAACAGGUUUGCCCAUCCCCCAUUUGAUGUUGACAGAAUUUUUUUAAAAAAGAAAAAAAAAAGAAAAAAUAAAAAGGGACUGCUGAAAGAAGAAGGAGAGGAGAGGGAAAAAAAAAAAGAAAAAAAAAACUCAGGUUCUGCAAAUUAUUUUGAUUGACCUUGCUAUGACAAGUGAAUUAUGACGUCAAGUAUGUUGAAUGGAGAGAGAAGAUGGGCCUCUGCAAGAAGAAGUGGCAUGACUGUGUUGGGGAAAGUUGCUGUUCCCAAGCCUAUCAAUUUACCAAGCCAAAGGUUAGAAAAUCAUGGCCUGGACCCAAAUGUUGAAAUUGUUCCCAAGGGUACCCAUAGUUGGGGCAGUAGAUCAUCUUCUUCCGCAUCAAAUGCAUGGGGUUCUUCCUCUUUGUCUCCAAAUAAUGAUGGUGGAACUGGUUCACCAAGCCAUCUUAGUGGCCGCCCUUCAUCUGGUGGAAGUGGCACUCGACCAUCAACUGCGGGUAGUGACAAAGCUAAUGAACCUAUUGUUAAUGCAUGGGGUUCAAAUUCUAGGCCAUCAUCAUCUUCUGGAGCAUUGCCAUCAAAUCAGACAUCACAUGGAGCAUUGCGUCCUCGUAGUGCAGAAACAAGACCUGGUAGCUCACAAUUAUCGCGGUUUGCUGAACAUUUGUCUGAUAAUUCAGUGGCAUGGCAUGCAAUGGGAACAGCAGAUAAGUUGGGAGUAACAUCCUCUAAGAACGA